CGGUGUUUAGCGCAGCUUGGUAGCGCACUUCGUUUGGGUCGAAGGGGUCGCAGGUUCAAAUCCUGCAACACCGACCA
rnacentral:tRNA from 2 species